rnacentral:rRNA from 13 species
UGUGUAAGCGCAGCGAUGCGUUGAGCUAACCGGUACUAAUGAACCGUGAGGCUUAACCUUACAACGCCGAAG